GGUUAAGCGACUAAGCGUACACGGUGGAUGCCCUGGCAGUCAGAGGCGAUGAAGGACGUGCUAAUCUGCGAAAAGCGUCGGUAAGGUGAUAUGAACCGUUAUACCCGACGAUAUCCGAAUGGGGAAACCCAGUAUCCAAUGGAUACUAUCAUUAACUGAAUCCAUAGGUUAAUGAGGCGAACCGGGAGAACUGAAACAUCUCAGUACCCCGAGGAAAAGAAAUCAACCGAGAUUCCCCUAGUAGCGGCGAGCGAACGGGGAGCAGCCCAGAGUCUUAAUCAAUAGCAGUGUCAGGAGAACGGUCUGGAAAGUCCGGCAGUAAAGGGUGAUAGCCCCGUAUCUGAAGAUGCUGUUAUUGUGAACUCGACGAGUAGGGCGGGACACGUGUUAUCCUGUCUGAAUAUGGGGGGACCAUCCUCCAAGGCUAAAUACUCCUGAUUGACCGAUAGUGAACCAGUACCGUGAGGGAAAGGCGAAAAGAACCCCGGCGAGGGGAGUGAAAAAGAACCUGAAACCGUGUACGUACAAGCAGUAGGAGCCUCUUUAUGGGGUGACUGCGUACCUUUUGUAUAAUGGGUCAGCGACUUAUAUUCUGUAGCAAGGUUAACCGUAUAGGGGAGCCGUAGGGAAACCGAGUCUUAACUGGGCGAAUGAGUUGCAGGGUAUAGACCCGAAACCCGGUGAUCUAUCCAUGGGCAGGUUGAAGGUUGGGUAACACUAACUGGAGGACCGAACCGACUAAUGUUGAAAAAUUAGCGGAUGACUUGUGGAUGGGGGUGAAAGGCCAAUCAAACCGGGAGAUAGCUGGUUCUCCCCGAAAGCUAUUUAGGUAGCGCCUCGUGAACUCAUCUUCGGGGGUAGAGCACUGUUUCGACUAGGGGGUCAUCCCGACUUACCAACUCGAUGCAAACUGCGAAUACCGAAGAAUGUUAUCACGGGAGACACACGGCGGGUGCUAACGUCCGUCGUGAAGAGGGAAACAACCCAGACCGCCAGCUAAGGUCCCAAAGUCAUGGUUAAGUGGGAAACGAAGUGGGAAGGCUCAGACAGCCAGGAUGUUGGCUUAGAAGCAGCCAUCAUUUAAAGAAAGCGUAAUAGCUCACUGGUCGAGUCGGCCCGCGCGGAAGAUGUAACGGGGCUAAACCAUGCACCGAAGCUGCGGCAGCGACACAAAGUGUUGUUGGGUAGGGGAGCGUUCUGUAAGCCUGCGAAGGUGUACUGUGAGGUAUGCUGGAGGUAUCAGAAGUGCGAAUGCUGACAUAAGUAACGAUAAUGCGGGUGAAAAACCCGCACGCCGGAAGACCAAGGGUUCCUGUCCAACGUUAAUCGGGGCAGGGUGAGUCGACCCCUAAGGCGAGGCUGAAAAGCGUAGUCGAUGGGAAACGGGUUAAUAUUCCCGUACUGGUGGUAACUGCGAUGGGGGAACGGAGAAGGCUAGGUUGUCCGGGCGACGGUCGUCCCGGUUCAAGCAGGUAGGCAGAGUGAUUAGGCAAAUCCGGUCACUUAAUGCUGAGAUGUGAUGACGAACCACCAAGGUGGUGAAGCAAUUGAUGCCCCGCUUCCAGGAAAAGCCUCUAAGCUUCAGGUUACCAACAAUCGUACCCCAAACCGACACAGGUGGUCAGGUAGAGAAUACUCAGGCGCUUGAGAGAACUCGGGUGAAGGAACUAGGCAAAAUGGUGCCGUAACUUCGGGAGAAGGCACGCUGGCGGUAGGUAAAGUCCCUUGCGGACGGCGCUGAAGCCAGUCGAAGAUACCAGCUGGCUGCAACUGUUUAUUAAAAACACAGCACUGUGCAAACACGAAAGUGGACGUAUACGGUGUGACGCCUGCCCGGUGCUGGAAGGUUAAUUGAUGGGGUCAGCCGUAAGGCGAAGCUCCUGAUCGAAGCCCCAGUAAACGGCGGCCGUAACUAUAACGGUCCUAAGGUAGCGAAAUUCCUUGUCGGGUAAGUUCCGACCUGCACGAAUGGCGUAAUGAUGGCCAGGCUGUCUCCACCCGAGACUCAGUGAAAUUGAACUCGCUGUGAAGAUGCAGUGUACCCGCGGCAAGACGGAAAGACCCCGUGAACCUUUACUAUAGCUUGACACUGAACAUUGAGCCUUGAUGUGUAGGAUAGGUGGGAGGCUUUGAAGUGUGGACGCCAGUCUGCAUGGAGCCAACCUUGAAAUACCACCCUUUAACGUUUGAUGUUCUAACCUAGGCCCAUAAACUGGGUCGGGGACCGUGUCUGGUGGGUAGUUUGACUGGGGCGGUCUCCUCCUAAAGAGUAACGGAGGAGCACGAAGGUUGGCUAAGCAUGGUCGGACAUCAUGCGGUUAGUGCAAAGGCAUAAGCCAGCUUGACUGCGAGAGUGACGGCUCGAGCAGGUACGAAAGUAGGUCUUAGUGAUCCGGUGGUUCUGAAUGGAAGGGCCAUCGCUCAACGGAUAAAAGGUACUCCGGGGAUAACAGGCUGAUACCGCCCAAGAGUUCAUAUCGACGGCGGUGUUUGGCACCUCGAUGUCGGCUCAUCACAUCCUGGGGCUGAAGUAGGUCCCAAGGGUAUGGCUGUUCGCCAUUUAAAGUGGUACGCGAGCUGGGUUUAGAACGUCGUGAGACAGUUCGGUCCCUAUCUGCCGUGGGCGUUGGAAGAUUGAGAGGGGUUGCUCCUAGUACGAGAGGACCGGAGUGAACGCACCACUGGUGUUCGGGUUGUCAUGCCAAUGGCAUUGCCCGGUAGCUAAGUGCGGAAGAGAUAACCGCUGAAAGCAUCUAAGCGGGAAACUUGCCUCGAGAUGAGUCUUCCCUGUCGCUUUAAGCGACCUAAAGGAACGUUUAAGACUAAGACGUUGAUAGGCUGGGUGUGUAAGCGUAGCGAUACGUUGAGCUAACCAGUACUAAUGAACCGUGAGGCUUAACCUG
rnacentral:rRNA from 1 species